UACCAGCACCCCGAGUGGUCGGGGCGAUUAUUGGGCCUAAAGCAUCCGUAGCCGGUCAUUCAAGUCCUCCGUUAAAUCCAGCCGCUCAACGGUUGGGCUGCGGAGGAUACUACGUGGCUAGGAGGCGGGAGAGGCAAGCGGUACUCAGUGGGUAGGGGUAAAAUCCUUUGAUCCAUUGAAGACCACCAGUGGCGAAGGCGGCUUGCCAGAACGCGCUCGACGGUGAGGGAUGAAAGCUGGGGGAGCAAACCGG
rnacentral:rRNA from 1 species